ensembl:lncRNA
AGGACUUUCAGGAACGUAGCACGUUAUCUGCUGAGCCAUGUUGUUCUGUCUCCAGACUUUGAGCAGUGUGAAGGGACCAGAGGCAGGCUGCGACUGGCAGACCAGAACAUUUUUCCAUGAAGCCAGUCAAGAUUGUUGAGUCUCAAGCCUUGAUGAAUCGGUGGGAAAAGCCUUUGCACAGGAUCUGCAAAACAGAGGAGCUUCCGCAUACAGGCAGCAGGAAGGCCAAGAAGGGUUGAGAAGAGAAGCUGAUUGAUGUACACAUCAGUCAGUGGAACUCAGCUGGAACCAGAUUGGAAUAAAUGAACUUAGACUGGAAGACUGUGCAUCUCUGAAAAAUGCAUGAAGUCCUGGAGCUUGGGUUUCCACCAAGACCUCAAUAAUGACCUGACCACGAGGCCAAAGCUGCUGCAGGAACAGCUACUAAUGAAGACAUUUUGCAGCUAAUUUGUGUCUCGCUAACACAUUAUGUCAGGAGAUAUGCCUCCAACCAAAGCACAGGGAGCUCUGGGGCAGCUGCCCAGCAGCUGCUCCAUGGCUGCGGAGUCAUUCCACCUCUCGACGGCUGCUGCUCUUCAUGUACUUGAUGUGAGUCCAGGGAACCCUCAGAGCUCCUGACUUCCAGGCCCAGCCCCUCAGGUCACGUACAGCAGAGCAGGGUGCGCCCAUCUCGCAAUUCCCUUAUGGCAGUACCUUAAGCCAGCACAAGAAAUCAGGGCUACAAGUUAAAAGAUUUAUGCCAGGGAUGAGAUCUAUCCUUUUGCCUGUUUAACUGCCUGUGUCCUUCACUGGAGCAUUAAUUUGAAUCUGACUUUCAAAAUCAAACAAUGUAAUUUUGAUCACAUGCUAGC